rnacentral:tRNA from 1 species
GCCUUCGUAGUGUAAUGGGCAGCACGCUCGACGCAUAUUCGAGGGGUCCGUGGUUCGAGUCCCGGCGGGGGCA